GAUGUCAUCCCAAAAAAUCAGGGAUCCUAAUUUAAAACCUUAGCUGUUAUCCCAAUAAAUCAGGAAUCCUAAUUAAUCUCUCAAUUUCUAUAUUUAUACUAUGCAUUCCAUUCGGGCCUUUCAAAUUCAACAAUCAACAUCCACAAAUUGAUCCAUUCCGAUUUUGAAACGACUUCAAUUUUCUUUUGUGUCUUCUUCUUCAUGUACUGAAUGUGUUAAUUUGUAGGUUUUUGGGUUCGGACUUUUCUCGAUCAGGGGAAGGUUUUUGGGUUAGGAAUUUUCUCGAUCAGGGGGAAGGCAUUGUUUUUAAGGUUAUCGACACAUCUAUAGUUUCUAUAAUUGAAAAUUUGAAUACCCCAUCCUCCAUAUCUAUACUAUGUGUUUCUUCCUUCGAUUCGGGUAUCUCGCUGGAUUAGUAGGUUUUUAUUCACCUGCUUCAUGGUAGAAAACUAGAAACAUUAUCAACAGGAAGAGCUAUUUCGUUAUCUUUUUUUCUCUAAAUGCCCUAGCCAUCGCCGCUAAUCAUCUUGAUAAGGGAACAAGAACCGUCAUACCUUCUUCUUGUAUGCAGAAAUCAGCAAAGGUUAGUCACUUAGUCUUAUAUUUCUUUUUUCUAUUUGAGCCCUAAAAUGUUCAUAUGUUGUUUCUUUUUUGUCUAACGCUUUGGAGGAACAAAAUAGACUGGUGCAAUCUACUCUCUUUCUCCUUUGUGUUACAUCUCACUCUUUCCAAUUUUCCCUUCUAAUUAGACAGUAUCAUCAUUAUCCUUGCUACCCUAUCUGAAUUGACCAUGUUUUCACACUGAUUCAAAGUUUCAAUAUAUCAAUAUUUUGUCUAUCAUCUUCUAUUUUAGCUUUUUUUAUGAGCUUCUUGUAGGAUAUCUAUUUCAUAUAUUCGAUCAACUCAAAUUAAUAUGUCAAUACUAGCUCAUCUUCUUGGUGGUUGUAGAUAUGUUUUUGGAAACACUCACUUCGAUGCUCACUUUGGCUUUAGAGAUGUUUUUGAUUAGUUAUCAGAUUUAUUCGUAUUCAAAUGAGAGUGCUCUUGCUGGAAAUAUCAAAUUAAAGACAAAGCAAAACAUAUCCAAAAUAAUUUUUUGUGUGUGAGUUGGUGGUUUGACAUGGUAUUAUAGUAAGAUUGUUCUUCCAAUGAGAUUGCACUUGCUGGAAUAUUCAGUUACCUUGAUACAUAUUAAGAUUUUUUCCUUAUGUUUUUAGACAUGUACUUGAGAAGUUGUCAUCAUUUAUUUUUAUUAAUUUUCAAUUUGUUUUUUGUUUUACAGAACUUUGUUAUACAAUGAAAGGAAUCCAAAAAAUGCGAAGUAUAUAGCUUUCUGGAGUAAAAAAGAUGGGACCUCUUGCUAGAUUUUGAUGUAUAUAGCAUUGGGGUACUUGCACUGGAAGUGAUCAAAGGAGAGCAUCCAAUAGGUAUUAUUAUUAUUAUUAUUAUUAUUAUUAUUAUAGCAUUGGGAAUAUUUAUUGUCAAUGAAAGUAAGAAAGAGUGGAAAAUGAAAGUUAUACAGGAAAUCCUUGAGAGCAAAUGGUCAUUUAUUUGUAAUUUAUAAUGAAUCUAAAUUCACAAGUUACAAAAUAGGUAGAGUAGUUAUGGGUCAAAACAAUUGUCACUAAUCCAUUAUCCAUUUUUGUACUUUCAACAUCUUUAUAUGUUACUAUAAAGACUAUUAUUAAAAUUAAUAACCUAUUUUUUAAUAGAAAUAAUAUUUGGUAGAAUUGUUAAUGUUAUUUCCUUCAUUUUCAACCACAUCUUUGAAGUGUAACACAUCUUAUGGUAGAAUGAAUUUCUUAAACAAUAAUAAUUUUUAUGUGCUUAAGACCACAUUAAAUGCAUAAAUAGAAUGGAGCUUCCCUGUUUAAGUGGUACCAUGGGCAUUUUUGUCUUUUUUACAUUUCUUAAAUUUGUAUAUGGUUUUUGAUUUGAUUCAUUUUUUACUCACUUUGAUAUAUGUUUGAUUCACAUUAAUUCCAAUACACCACCAGUACUGUUAAUACCGAAGAUUUGGUCACAUACUUUAUCUGGUAUAUUUUAGAGAUAGGUUUGAAUAUUUUGAAAAAGGGAAUUAUUGGUAUAAAAAUUUGUGAAAAGGUUGGUAUUUUUUGGAGCUAUUUCAUGGUUUAUUGAUGAUAUGGAUGUUUGUAGAAGCAAUUUAAUGAAAGGGCAAUUUGGUAAUAUUUAUUGGAAUAUAAUCAUUUUUGAUUUAAUUGAGUAUUUAAAUUGGAAAAUGAGAUUGAAAAUAUGAAUAUUGAUAUAGUUUUUUUCCUAUCCCCUUUCCAACUAUACCCAAUAAUGAAAGUAUAACAAUUUUUAUGUUUUUAGCAUAGUACCUUUCGCAUUCUAGAUUUAACUGAGUAUUAGAAUUGGAGAAUGUGUGUUUUUACUUAAAUAUUUCUUGGUUUUGAUUAUCAUUUUUAGGAUUGUUGAUAUAACUUGAUAGUAUUUUUUUUUGGUGAAUUGGUUGUAGAGGAAAACAUACACACAUAACAAUUCUGUGGUUUUUAUUACAGAGACAAACAUGUACAAUAAAACUUCUUGUGAAAAAUAAAUGUAUUAUUUGCAUGAUUCAGAAUAUUUACCUCAUAUUACAAUCAAAUAAUGUUGUAAUGAUGAUACAAAUUGCCUAUUUGUUGUUGAUAAUAUUGUAAAACUAACUUUAAUUUGGUUAAUCGUUUGAUGAAAAAGAUGCAGGUUUAAUCUCUCUGCUAGACUUUAUGCUUGGCAUGGAUGAUAAUCUCACAUGAAAUUAUUUAUGUAGUCAUUUUGAUGUAGAAAUCUAUUAUAAUAAUAAUGUCUAAAUACUUUAUCUCAUAUGUAAUGACUUUACAAUAUCAAACUCUUUCGUUAAUUAGUCAAUCGUAC
rnacentral:lncRNA from 1 species